rnacentral:rRNA from 1 species
CGGGAUUGAAAUGUAGAUGACCGCUCCUGAAAGGGAGUUUUCCUUCGGGACAUCUAUGUAGGUGCUGCAUGGUUGUCGUCAGCUCGUGCCGUGAGGUGUCGGCUUAAGUGCCAUAACGAGCGCAACCCCUGUCUACGGUUGCCAUCAGGUGAUGCUGGGAACUCCGUAGAGACUGCCGUCGUAAGGCGUGAGGAAGGUGGGGAUGACGUCAAAUCAGCACGGCCCUUACAUCCGGGGCGACACACGUGUUACAAUGGGGGGUACAGAAGGCCGCUACCCGGCGACGGGAUGCUAAUCUUUAAAACCUCUCUCAGUUCGGAUCGGAGUCUGCAACCCGACUCCGUGAAGCUGGAUUCGCUAGUAAUCGCGCAUCAGCCAUGGCGCGGUGAAUACGUUCCCGGGCC